rnacentral:rRNA from 1 species
UACGUAGGGUGCAGGCGUUAAUCGGAAUUACUGGGCGUAAAGCGUGCGCAGGCGGUUUGCUAAGACAGGUGUGAAAUCCCCGGGCUUAACCUGGGAACUGCGCUUGUAACUGGCAAGCUAGAGUGUGGCAGAGGGGAGUGGAAUUCCACGUGUAGCAGUGAAAUGCGUAGAGAUGUGGAGGAACACCGAUGGCGAAGGCAGCCCCCUGGGCUAACACUGACGCUCAUGCCCGAAAGCGUGGGGAGCAAACAGG